UACGGAGGAUCCAAGCGUUAUCCGGAAUCAUUGGGUUUAAAGGGUCCGUAGGCGGUUUAAUAAGUCAGUGGUGAAAGCCCAUCGCUCAACGGUGGAACGGCCAUUGAUACUGUUAAACUUGAAUUAUUAAGAAGUAACUAGAAUAUGUAGUGUAGCGGUGAAAUGCUUAGAGAUUACAUGGAAUACCAAUUGCGAAGGCAGGUUACUACUAAUGGAUUGACGCUGAUGGACGAAAGCGUGGGUAGCGAACAGG
rnacentral:rRNA from 1 species